UACGAAGGGGGCUAGCGUUGUUCGGAAUUACUGGGCGUAAAGCGCGCGUAGGCGGUGAUCUUUGUCAGGGGUGAAAUCCCGGGGCUCAACCCCGGAAUUGCCUUUGAAACGGGAUCGCUAGAGUCCGAGAGAGGAUGGCGGAAUUCCUAGUGUAGAGGUGAAAUUCGUAGAUAUUAGGAAGAACACCGGUGGCGAAGGCGGCCAUCUGGCUCGGUACUGACGCUCAGGCGCGAAAGCGUGGGGAGCAAACAGG
rnacentral:rRNA from 1 species